rnacentral:rRNA from 1 species
GACGAACGCUGGCGGCGUGCUUAACACAUGCAAGUCGAACGGAAAGGCCCUGCUUGCAGGGUACUCGAGUGGCGAACGGGUGAGUAACACGUGGGUGAUCUGCCCUGCACUUCGGGAUAAGCCUGGGAAACUGGGCCUAAUACCGGAUAUGACCUUCCAUGUAGUGUGGGGGGUGGAAAGAUUUAUCGGUGUGGGAUGAGCCCGCGGCCUAUCAGCUUGUUGGUGGGGUAAUGGCCUACCAAGGCGUCGACGGGUAGCCGGCCUGAGAGGGUGGACGGCCACAUUGGGACUGAGAUACGGCCCAGACUCCUACGGGAGGCAGCAGUGGGGAAUAUUGCACAAUGGGCGGAAGCCUUAUGCAGCGACGCCGCGUGGGGGAUGACGGCCUUCGGGUUGUAAACCUCUUUCGACAGGGACGAAGCUUCGGUGACGGUACCUGUAUAAGAAGCACCGGCUAACUACGUG